UUAAGUUAUUAAGGGCGCACGGUGGAUGCCUUGGCACUAGAAGCCGAUGAAGGACGUUACUAACGACGAUAUGCUUUGGGGAGCUGUAAGUAAGCUUUGAUCCAGAGAUUUCCGAAUGGGGAAACCCAGCAUGAGUUAUGUCAUGUUAUCGAUAUGUGAAUACAUAGCAUAUCAGAAGGCACACCCGGAGAACUGAAACAUCUUAGUACCCGGAGGAAGAGAAAGAAAAUUCGAUUCCCUUAGUAGCGGCGAGCGAAACGGGAAGAGCCCAAACCAACAAGCUUGCUUGUUGGGGUUGUAGGACACUCUAUACGGAGUUACAAAGGACGACAUUAGACGAAUCAUCUGGAAAGAUGAAUCAAAGAAGGUAAUAAUCCUGUAGUCGAAAAUGUUGUCUCUCUUGAGUGGAUCCUGAGUACGACGGAGCACGUGAAAUUCCGUUGGAAUCUGGGAGGACCAUCUCCUAAGGCUAAAUACUCUCUAGUGACCGAUAGUGAACCAGUACCGUGAGGGAAAGGUGAAAAGCACCCCGGAAGGGGAGUGAAAUAGAACCUGAAACCGUGUGCUUACAAGUAGUCAGAGCCCGUUAAUGGGUGAUGGCGUGCCUUUUGUAGAAUGAACCGGCGAGUUACGAUUUGAUGCAAGGUUAAGCAGUAAAUGUGGAGCCGUAGCGAAAGCGAGUCUGAAUAGGGCGUUUAGUAUUUGGUCGUAGACCCGAAACCAGGUGAUCUACCCUUGGUCAGGUUGAAGUUCAGGUAACACUGAAUGGAGGACCGAACCGACUUACGUUGAAAAGUGAGCGGAUGAACUGAGGGUAGCGGAGAAAUUCCAAUCGAACCUGGAGAUAGCUGGUUCUCUCCGAAAUAGCUUUAGGGCUAGCCUCAAGUGAUGAUUAUUGGAGGUAGAGCACUGUUUGGACGAGGGGCCCCUCUCGGGUUACCGAAUUCAGACAAACUCCGAAUGCCAAUUAAUUUAACUUGGGAGUCAGAACAUGGGUGAUAAGGUCCGUGUUCGAAAGGGAAACAGCCCAGACCACCAGCUAAGGUCCCAAAAUAUAUGUUAAGUGGAAAAGGAUGUGGCGUUGCCCAGACAACUAGGAUGUUGGCUUAGAAGCAGCCAUCAUUUAAAGAGUGCGUAAUAGCUCACUAGUCGAGUGACACUGCGCCGAAAAUGUACUGGGGCUAAACAUAUUACCGAAGCUGUGGAUUGUCCUUUGGACAAUGGUAGGAGAGCGUUCUAAGGGCGUUGAAGCAUGAUCGUAAGGACAUGUGGAGCGCUUAGAAGUGAGAAUGCCGGUGUGAGUAGCGAAAGACGGGUGAGAAUCCCGUCCACCGAUUGACUAAGGUUUCCAGAGGAAGGCUCGUCCGCUCUGGGUUAGUCGGGUCCUAAGCUGAGGCCGACAGGCGUAGGCGAUGGAUAACAGGUUGAUAUUCCUGUACCACCUAUAAUCGUUUUAAUCGAUGGGGGGACGCAGUAGGAUAGGCGAAGCGUGCGAUUGGAUUGCACGUCUAAGCAGUAAGGCUGAGUAUUAGGCAAAUCCGGUACUCAUUAAGGCUGAGCUGUGAUGGGGAGAAGACAUUGUGUCUUCGAGUCGUUGAUUUCACACUGCCGAGAAAAGCCUCUAGAUAGAAAAUAGGUGCCCGUACCGCAAACCGACACAGGUAGUCAAGAUGAGAAUUCUAAGGUGAGCGAGCGAACUCUCGUUAAGGAACUCGGCAAAAUGACCCCGUAACUUCGGGAGAAGGGGUGCUCUUUAGGGUUAACGCCCAGAAGAGCCGCAGUGAAUAGGCCCAAGCGACUGUUUAUCAAAAACACAGGUCUCUGCUAAACCGUAAGGUGAUGUAUAGGGGCUGACGCCUGCCCGGUGCUGGAAGGUUAAGAGGAGUGGUUAGCUUCUGCGAAGCUACGAAUCGAAGCCCCAGUAAACGGCGGCCGUAACUAUAACGGUCCUAAGGUAGCGAAAUUCCUUGUCGGGUAAGUUCCGACCCGCACGAAAGGCGUAACGAUUUGGGCACUGUCUCAACGAGAGACUCGGUGAAAUCAUAGUACCUGUGAAGAUGCAGGUUACCCGCGACAGGACGGAAAGACCCCGUGGAGCUUUACUGUAGCCUGAUAUUGAAAUUCGGCACAGCUUGUACAGGAUAGGUAGGAGCCUUUGAAACGUGAGCGCUAGCUUACGUGGAGGCGCUGGUGGGAUACUACCCUAGCUGUGUUGGCUUUCUAACCCGCACCACUUAUCGUGGUGGGAGACAGUGUCAGGCGGGCAGUUUGACUGGGGCGGUCGCCUCCUAAAAGGUAACGGAGGCGCUCAAAGGUUCCCUCAGAAUGGUUGGAAAUCAUUCAUAGAGUGUAAAGGCAUAAGGGAGCUUGACUGCGAGACCUACAAGUCGAG
rnacentral:rRNA from 1 species